rnacentral:rRNA from 1 species
GACGAAGGGGGCUAGCGUUGUUCGGAAUUACUGGGCGUAAAGCGCGUGUAGGCGGUUGUCCAAGUUGGAUGUGAAAGCCUUGAGCUUAACUCAAGAAAUGCAUUCAGGACUGGAUGACUAGAGGACCGGAGAGGAUAGUGGAAUUCCCAGUGUAGUGGUGAAAUACGUAGAGAUUGGGAAGAACACCAGUGGCGAAGGCGGCUAUCUGGACGGUUUCUGACGCUAAGACGCGGAAGCGUGGGGAGCAAACGGG